AUAACUGGCGGCGGCUUACCAUGCAAGUCGAACGGUAGCACAAAGGACUUGCUCCUUGGGUGACGAGUGGCGGACGGGUGAGUAAUGCUUGGGAAUCUGGCUUAUGGAGGGGGAUAACUACUGGAAACGGUAGCUAAUACCGCGUAAUAUCGUAAGAUUAAAGGGUGGGACCUUCGGGCCACUUGCCAUAAGAUGAGCCCAAGUGGGAUUAGGUAGUUGGUGGGGUAAAGGCCUACCAAGCCUGCGAUCUCUAGCUGGUCUGAGAGGAUGGCCAGCCACACUGGAACUGAGACACGGUCCAGACUCCUACGGGAGGCAGCAGUGGGGAAUAUUGCACAAUGGGGGGAACCCUGAUGCAGCCAUGCCGCGUGAAUGAAGAAGGCCUUCGGGUUGUAAAGUUCUUUCGGUGAUGAGGAAGGCAGGUAUUUUAAUAGAAUACUUGAUUGACGUUAGUCACAGAAGAAGCACCGGCUAACUCCGUGCCAGCAGCCGCGGUAAU
rnacentral:rRNA from 1 species